rnacentral:rRNA from 1 species
UACAGAGGUCCCGAGCGUUGUUCGGAUUUAUUGGCGUAAAGGGUGCGUAGGUGGCAAAGUAAGUUGGAUGUGAAAUCCUGGGGCUUAACCUCAGAAUUGCAUUCAAUACUGCUUAGCUAGAGAGCUGUAGAGGAGACUGGAAUUUACGGUGUAGCAGUGAAAUGCGUAGAUAUCGUAAGGAACGCCAGUGGCGAAGGCGGUUCUCUGGGCCUUACCUGACGCUGAGGAGCGAAAGCGUGGGGAGCAAACAGG